GAAUGUGUUGCAAAACUGAAUGUGAGGCAGCUGGUCUCUGUCAGUAUGGAUGGUCCCAAUGUGAAUUUGAAGUUGGGAGACCUUCUUCAGAACGACCAUGCAGAGCUGUAUGGAGCUCAACUGGUGAAAAUUGGAAGCUGUGGGCUUCACACCCUGCACAAUGCGGUGAAGGCAGGCUUCACUAUGUGGCAGCUGGACAAGCUCCUUCGGGCUCUCCACUUCCUCUUCCACAAUGUUCCAGCUAGGAGGGAGGACUUCACUUCCUUGACUGGGUCCACCACCUUUCCGUUGCCAUUCUGUGGCCACAGAUGGGUUGAAAAUCUCCCUGUAGCAGAGAGGGCAACUCAUGUAUGGCCAAUGAUUUUGAAGUGUGUGGAUGCUGUGAAGCAAAAGAAGCUCCCCAACCCAGGCACUGCCUCCUAUGACACCAUUGAGACAGCACAGGCUGAUCCCCUCAUCGGUGGCAAAUUGCAGUUCUUUCUAGCCAUAACCAGGACGUUCAACCCCUUCCUGACAAAGUAUCAAACUGAUGAACCAGUUUUGCCCUUCUUGGCCAAAGAUUUGAGUGAGCUGAUAAAGGGUCUACUGAGGCGAUUUGUGAAGAGGGAGCUCCUGCAGGACCUCACCAGUAGAGGUGACUGAUGAGGCAAACUGGGUCUCUGUCACAAAUGUUGAUAUUGGCCUGGGUGCCGGAUCUGUCAUAAAGCCACUGCAGCAGCGGGUUGAUGUGUUCCUGCACUCAGCUCUCAAGUCUUACCCCGAAGUGUCAAAAUUCUGUCAAGUCCUUCUGCUCCUGUCACAUGGACAAGCCACAGUGGAGAGAGGAUUCUCAAUCAACAAGCAAGUUGAAACUUGCAACAUACUUGAAGAGUCGAUGGAGGCUCUAAGGUUAAUAUGCGACAAGGUCAGUGUUUGUGGGGGUGUUUUAAAUGUUCCUCUGACCAAGGAGCUCCUGGCUUCAGUAGCUUCCGCCAGGUCAAGAUACAGAAUACACCUUGAGCAUCAACGUCUUAAAAAAGAAAAUGCCACACAGUCACUGAAAAGAAAAGCAGCUGAAGAUGAAGUCGAAGAGCUGAAGAAAAAGGUCAAAAUCCUGCAUGAAGUGUGCAACACACUUCAAAUUGAUGCAGACCAUCUUGCUGAGCAGGCCGAAGGAAAAUCUGGGUCAUUAAUGGCCCAACUUACCACCAAGUCCAACACCUUGCGGCGAAGGCACAAAGAAAAGCUCAGAGAGCUGAUGGACGCAGAGAAGCUGAUGGAAAGCAAAUCACACAAUCUCAGGCACAUGUUCUAAAUUGUGAUCAUGAUGUAAUAAGUUAAAGUUGGCCUUUAAUAACUGGUGUAACUUGUUGAUAGGCCUAAGCCAAACUGCAGUUUGCAAGUUAUUGAAGUCUUUGUAAUCUGCAUUAUGUCAUCCAUUUCAAUGUUUCUUCUUAAUUUCAUGUUUGUGAUUGUGCACAGAUUAGAUGUGCUUUCAAAAUGCUACACAAAAACAUGUAACUUGUCGUGACCUGAGAGGAAUGUCAAUAAACUUGCCUUUAGUGUAAUUUAUUCUUUUCAAGCUUUA